rnacentral:rRNA from 1 species
GACGAACGCUGGCGGCGUGCUUAACACAUGCAAGUCGAACGGUAAAGCCUUUCGGGGUACCCGAGUGGCGAACGGGUGAGUAACACGUGGGUGAUCUGCCCUGCACUUCGGGAUAAGCCCGGGAAACUGGGUCUAAUACCGGAUAGGACUGCGCGGUGCAUGCCGUGUGGUGGAAAGAUUUAUCGGUGCAGGAUGGGCCCGCGGCCUAUCAGCUUGUUGGUGGGGUAAUGGCCUACCAAGGCGACGACGGGUAGCCGGCCUGAGAGGGCGACCGGCCACACUGGGACUGAGACACGGCCCAGACUCCUACGGGAGGCAGCAGUGGGGAAUAUUGCACAAUGGGCGCAAGCCUGAUGCAGCGACGCCGCGUGAGGGAUGACGGCCUUCGGGUUGUAAACCUCUUUCAGCAGGGACGAAGCGUGAGUGACGGUACCUGCAGAAGAAGCACCGGCCAACUACGUG